GUGCUCUGCACAGAGUAAGCGCUUAACAAAUACCGACAAUAUUAUUAUUAUUUUCCGGAGUAGCGGAAGGUGGAGUCACGAGCUUUCGUCUUUAGGUGGUGACGAAGGGAAAUCCCAGAGCCCGCUGAGGGAGCGCUUCCAAAAUAUGGCCGCUGUCCUUCUCCUUGUCUCUGGGCCAUACGGCUGAAGCACCAGCCCUCGGCAGCCAGCAAACCCAGGUCCGCGCACGCCAUCGGCCCCCCACGGCAGCGACGGAGCGCCCGUUCGAGCAUUCGGAUGCAGUCUAGCCUUCUGCAGUUUCCUAGGUAACUGGCACUUUGCCACCCACCCCGGCCGGGCCCGCGCGGAGGAACAAGAGAAGACGCGGAUCGUGUCCGGCUUCCUUUCGGAGAGAGCGGAGCCGGGGGCAAAUACGGACAUCGGUUGUUAAUCGGAACACGAUACAAGGGAUCUCUUCCCUAACUGGGACUUUCUUAACAGUCUAUUUGCCGGCAAAGACAUUUCUCUUCCUGCCUCCAUCCGCUUCAAGGGUCCAGAGCUACAACACGGCAAGGAGGAAAACUCGCCUCAUCCGCUCUUGGUCUCCUGACUCCCGUCCCCUGACUCCGGUCUGGGUCUAAAAGGCUCCCCGCCAGACCGGUAGGAAAUAAAUGAAGACGACCUUCCCGAGGCUGAAGAAAAUAAAUUAUUAGCCCUCGGGGUGGAGGGAAAUAAAUAGGAAGGCUUUCUCAGGGCUAAAGAAAAUAAAUUAAAACUAAAAAGA